UACGUAGGGGGCUAACGUUGUCCGGAAUCAUUGGGCGUAAAGCGCGUGUAGGCGGUCCGGUAAGUCCGCUGUGAAAGUCGGGGGCUCAACCCUCGGAUGCCGGUGGAUACUGUCGGGCUUGAGUACGGAAGAGGCGAGUGGAAUUCCUGGUGUAGCGGUGAAAUGCGCAGAUAUCAGGAGGAACACCAAUUGCGAAGGCAGCUCGCUGGGACGUUACUGACGCUGAGACGCGAAAGCGUGGGGAGCAAACAGG
rnacentral:rRNA from 1 species